CCUACGGGAGGCAGCAGUGAGGAAUAUUGGUCAAUGGCCGGAAGGCUGAACCAGCCAAGCCGCGUGAGGGAGGAAGGCGCAGAGCGUCGCAGACCUCUUUUGCCGGGGGACAAAAGGCCGGACUUGUCCGGUCCUGAGGGUACCCGGAGAAAAAGCCUUGGCCAACCCCGUGCCCGCAGCCGCGGUAAUACGGAGGAUGCGAGCGUUAUCCGGAUUCAUUGGGUUUAAAGGGUGCGCAGGAGGGCCUUUAAGCCGGCGGUAAAAUCGCGGGGCUCAACCCCGCCUAGCCGUCGGAACUGGGGGCCUUGAGUGCGGCGGAGGCAUGCGGAAUGCGCGGUGUAGCGGUGAAAUGCAUAGAUAUCGCGCAGAACCCCGAUUGCGAAGGCAGCGUGCCGUGCCGCAACUGACGCUGAGGCACGAAAGCGCGGGGAUCGAACAGGAUUAGAUACCCUUGUAGUC
rnacentral:rRNA from 1 species